CGACCGGCGCACGGGUGAGUAACACGUAUCCAACCUGCCGAUAACUCGGGGAUAGCCUUUCGAAAGAAAGAUUAAUAUCCGAUAGCAUAUCAAGAUCGCAUGAUCUUGAUAUUAAAGAAUUUCGGUUAUCGAUGGGGAUGCGUUCCAUUAGUUAGUUGGCGGGGUAACGGCCCACCAAGACGACGAUGGAUGGGGGUUCUGAGAGGAAGGUCCCCCACAUUGGAACUGAGACACGGUCCAAACUCCUACGGAAGGCAGCAG
rnacentral:rRNA from 1 species